CACCUGGCCCGAAGGGCCAAGUGAGCUUUUCUCAUCACUUGGCGUCCGUCGUCGUCGUCGUCGUCGUCCGUCGUCGUCCGUCGUCGUCCUGCGUUAACUUUUACAAAAAUCUUCUCCUCUGAAACUACUGGGCCAAAUUUAACCAAACUUGGCCACAAUCAUCAUUGGGGUAUCUAGUUUAAAAAUUGUGUCCGGUGACCCCGCCAACUAACCAAGAUGGCCGCCAUGGCUAUAAAUAGAACAUAGGGGUAAAAUGCAGUUUUUGGCUUAUAACUCAAAAACCAAAGCAUUUAGGGCAAAUCUGACAUGGGGUAAUAUUGUUAAUCAGGUUAAGAUCUAUCUGCCCUGAAAUUUUCAGAUGAAUCUGACAUUCCGUUGUUAGGUUGCUGCCCCUGAAUUGGUAAUUUUAAGGAAAUUUUGUUGUUUUUGGUUAUUAUCUUGAAUAUUAUUUCAGAUAGAGAUAAACUGUAAAAAGCAAUAAUGUUCAGCAAAGUAAGAUCUACAAAUAAGUCAACAUGACCAAAAUGAUCAGUUGACCACUUUAGGAGUUAUUGCCCUUUAUAGUCAAUUUUUAACCAUUUUUCGUAAAUCUUAGUAAUCUUUUAGAAAAAUCUUCUCCUCUGAAACUGCUGGGCCAAAUUAUUUGAAACUUGGCCACAAUCAUCAUUGGGGUAUCUAGUUUAAAAAUUGUGUCCGGUGACCCCGCCAACUAACCAAGAUGACCGCCAUGGCUAUAAAUAGAACAUAGGGGUAAAAUGCAGUUUUUGGCUUAUAACUCAAAAACCAAAGCAUUUAGAGCAAAUCUGACAUUGGGUAAAAUUGUUAAUCAGGUGAAGAUCUAUCUGCCCUGAAAUUUUCAGAUGAAUUGGACAACCUGUUUUUGGGUUGCGGCCCCUGAAUUGGUAAUUUUAAGGAAAUUUUGCUGUUUUUGGUUAUUAUAUUGAAUAUUAUUAUAGAUAUAGGUAAACUGUAAACAGCAAUAAUGUUCAGCAAGGUCAGAUUUACAAAUAAGUCAACAUGACCAAAAUGGUCAGUUGACCUCUUUAGGAGUUAUUGCCCUUUAAAGUCAAUUUUUAACCAUUUUUCGUAAAUUUUAUAUAUCUUUUACUAAAAUCUUCUUCUCUGAAACUGCUGUGCCAAAUUGAUCCAAACUUGGCCACAAUCAUCUUUGGGGUUUCUUGUUUAAAAAAUGUGUCCGGUGACCUGGCCAUCAAACCAAGAUGGCCGCCACGGCUAAAAAUAGAACAUAGGGGUAAAAUGCAGUUUUUGGCUUAUAACUCAAAAACCAAAUAAUUUAGAGAAAAUCUGACAUGAAGUAAAAUUGUUAAUCAGGUCAAGAUCUAUCUGCCCUGAAAUUUUCAGAUGAAUUGGACAACCUGUUUUUGGGUUGCGGCCCCUGAAUUGGUAAUUUUAAGGAAAUUUUGCUGUUGGUUAUUAUAUUGAAUAUUAUUAUAGAUAUAGGUAAACUGUAAACAGCAAUAAUGUUCAGCAAAGUAAGAUCUACAAAUAAGUCAACAUGAACGAAAUGGUCAAUUGACCCCUGUAGGAGUUAUUGACCUUUGUAGUCAAUUUUCAAUCUGCUUCCUUUGUUUAAUAUUCACAUAGACCAAGGUGAGCGACACAGGCUCUUUAGAGCCUCUAGUUUUUAUACUUUUUGUCCAUCAUUUCUCUUUUCUCAAUAUAUAAAUUAGCACAUCAAUAGUUCAAAUAAUAUUAUGACGUCUGGCUAGGAUGUUUUAUAAUUUUUUUCUGGGAUGCGUAGGAAGGCGUCCUAGAUAAAAAAAUAAAAUAGCCUUGUCAGACGUCAUAUUAUUUUGACUAGCAUGUCAUUUGCUCUAUUUCUUAUUACAGUCAAUUUUCUCUAUUCUUUGUUCCUUUAGUCAUAGUUCUCCAAUUUUUUUUAUACUUUUAGCCAUAGUUCCCAGUGGCAUAUCCAGGGAUAGGGUUCCGGGAUUGGAAUCUCCCCUUUUUAUGGACAAUCAAUGCAUUUGAAAGGGGACAUUUAGUUGGAACCCCCUUUAUCCUGGGUAGGGAACCCCUUUUCAAAAUGGCUGUAUCCACCCCUGGUUCCCUAUUUUGUGAACCCUCACCCUGUACUAUCUGUAAGAAAUGAUGGAUAGAGGUUUAGGAUAAAAUUAAACUAUACUUAUGUAGUUGUUAUAUUUUU
rnacentral:lncRNA from 1 species